rnacentral:rRNA from 1 species
UACGGGGGGGGCAAGCGUUGUUCGGAAUUACUGGGCGUAAAGGGCUCGUAGGUGGCCAACUAAGUCAGACGUGAAAUCCCUCGGCUUAACCGGGGAACUGCGUCUGAUACUGGACGGCUUGAGUUUGGGAGAGGGACGCGGAAUUCCAGGUGUAGCGGUGAAAUGCGUAGAUAUCUGGAGGAACACCGGUGGCGAAGGCGACAUCCUGGACCGGUAUUGACGCUGAGGCGCGAAAGCCAGGGGAGCAAACGGG